GUUAUGGGUUAGGAUUAUGGGUUAGGGUUGGGGUUGGGUUUAGGGGUUGUGGGUUAGGAUUAUGGGUUAGGGUUGGGGUUGGGUUUAGGGGUUAUGGGUUAUGGGUUAGGGUUGUGGGUUAGGGUUGGGGUUGGGAUUAGGGGUUAUGGGUUAGGGGUUGGGGUUGGGAUUAGGGGUUAUGGGUUAGGGUUAUGGGUUAGGGUUGGGGUUGGGAUUAGGGGUUAUGGGUUAGGGUUGGGGUUGGGAUUAGGGGUUAUGUGUUAUGGGUUAGGGUUGGGGUUGGGGUUAUGGGUUAGGGUUAUGGGUUAGGGUUGGGGUUGGGGUUGGGGGUUAUGGGUUAUGGCUUAAGGCUGGGGUUGUGGUUAUGGGUUAUGAGUUAAGGUUAGGGUUGGAGUUGGUGUUAUGGGUUAUAGGUUAGUUUGAGGUUAGGAUUGGGAUUGGGGUUGGAGUUAGGGUGAGGUUUAGGGGUUAGAUUCAGGGUUAGGAUUAAGGGUUAGGGUGAAAUUUAAGGUUCCUAUUAGGAUCAGGACUGGGGCUACGGGUUAGAGUUAGGGGUCAGGAUGAAGGUUGGGGUUCAGGGUUAAGCUGAGGGUUGGUGUCAGGCUUAGGGGAGGG
rnacentral:lncRNA from 1 species